rnacentral:lncRNA from 1 species
CCGACGCCGCGCCCCCUCGAUUGCCUCUCCCACUCCCCACUCAGAUCCCCCAUCCCCCACGCGAUGUUGCUUCUCCUCUUCGCCAUGGCCGCCACAGCCGUCUCCUCUGCUUGCUCGCCCGCGUAGCCACCGGCCCCUCCUCGACGUGCCACCGUGUCCAGCCGCAUCGACAACGUCCACUACUGCGACCCCGACCACCAGCGCGGGCCGGGAGCCACCAACGCGGACGGAUCGGAGCAACUUCCUCCUCUGCAUCCGCCGGAGUUCGACGUUGACUCCGUCGCCGUCAAUGCGUCCCACGCCUCCCCGAGCAGCUCCCCGUCACCGCUGUGAGCAGCCGUCCGUUUCCCUCCUUUUCCCCUUUCGCUUUGUUGCCCGAGGUUCGCCUCGCCGCUCAACCGCGAGCUCGCCGCCGCCGUUCAUGGUGCCGCCGCAGCCAUCGCUAGCCCCGCUCGCGCCCGCAACGCACACCGCGCUCCUGAGCUACCUAGGAGGCCCACGAGCCCCUCGGCGCCGCUCGCCGUACUCCCUAGAGCCGUCCCCGUUGAGGCCCGAAGCCAACCGCGGCCUCUGCUCAACGCCGGCACCAACUCCGGCGGCCUCAGCUCCUACCAGUGCCCCAUAGGACGCGGCGGGCUCUCCCCAUUUGAACACGCCCGCCCACGCCCAUUUUUGGCCCGCGGGAUGGCGAUUCCCGAAGCAUGGCCGCGCCCUCCGCCGCGGAUUUGGUCGCCGGAGCUAGGUCCAGCACCACCGCUGACCUGGCCGGCCGGGUCCACCCCUGGGUCGCUGACCCGUGGGCCCGGCUGACCUGUUGACUUCGAUCAACUACUGACUGGGCACUCUGGCCCACUGACAUGCGGGCCCCACCAUGUAAUUAAUUUAACUAAACCAGUUUUAUAAUUAAAAUUAAUUAGUUAUUCAGUAAAGACACUAACAGGUGGGAUCCAGGUGCUAAUUAACCCUGUUUAGUCUUAGUUAAACUUAGUUAAGCCCUCUGACCAUGACACGUGGGUCCCACCGGCCCCACAUGGCAGGUUUGACCCUGGUCAGCGAGUCUGUUGAAUGCUGAUGUCAUAUUUCCUUUUUUGUUAAUUUAAAUAGUUUCAGAAUAUGCUUUAAAUCUUUGAAAAUUAAUAGAAAAUUAACCGUAGCACGGAUGGAAAAACUUUAUACAUGAAACUUGCUCAGAAAAAUCCAACGAAUCCGAAUACGUGGUUCGUUCAUCUGUCACAUGCCCCUAGCAUGCUGAACUUGGAACUUUCCCCCUCUUUUCCUUUGUCCGGAAUCCACCUAAUGUCGGGAAUUCAUCCUCGAAUGUUUAUCCCCUCCGUCUGCAACGUGUAGUACUACGUUAGGUCGACCCUAGUUCUGCUUAUCGUCAUGUCAUGCUUAGCGUUGCAUAUGUUUGCUUAUAUUUACUGUUUCUUCCCCCUCUUCUCUUCGGUAGACCCCGAGGCCGAUGAUGCCCCGGUGAUCAACUACGUCGACGACGACCCCUCCUUGCCAUAGCAACCAGGCAAGCCCCCCCUUUGAUCAUCUCGAUAUCGCCCAUUCCAUUCCCUCAUGCUUGCAUUAGAUUUUGCUACUGUAGUUGAUUGCUCCUAUUCUGAUGCAUAGCCUGCUUUGGUAACCUGCUUAUUGUUACCUACCUGCUUAUCCUAAACUGCUUAGUAUAGGUUGGUUAGUGAUCCAUUAGUGACCCCCACCAUGUCCUUGUUGCCCCUGCUUCAUCAUUGAAGACCCGAUCAACGGGAUCGAUGACCAGGCCCCGACACCGUACAUCACUUUCCCCUUAGUUGCUCGACACUACUGGGUUACUAUCGAGUGCCGAGGGUGAGACCUCUACAACACUUCUGAUGUUAACCCAGUAGUGUAGCUAUUUGGUCAUGGUCAUCGAGGGUGAUUCCGCCUUAACCACUUCCGAUAUGACUCUGUCGUGCAACCCCUCAAGUGUGAACCUCGGGGGUGGUUCCUCUUACGUUCACCUUGAUAAUUACAUCGAGUGAAAUCCACCGGGGGUGAUUCCUCGAAUUUUCCCCUUGAUGUUCGGACACACAGUCACUACGGUUACUAUGACUUUACACUGAACCAUGUUACUAAAGACAGGUCGGCCCUGAGGGGUACCCGUGCGAGCUUAAUUGCGAGUGAUGUGGAGACAGGUUGACCUGGAGGGUGCCCGCGAGAUAAUUACGAGGCGUCGCCGGGCAUUCCUAGCCCUUGCCGCAAGUCCUCAAGAUGGGGCAACGGGGUCACAUCUUUCGUGAGUCUCUGCUUGUUACCGCGCGUUCCUAAUCCACUACGAUUUGGAUAUUUGAUCCGAGGGGCCUCUGUCUUGAUAGCACUAACCAUCACGUGGGCAUAGUAUGGGCGCUCUGCGUCAUAUACAACAGCGGAAGCUUAAUAGACGUCAGCGACUGAGCGGCGCGCGCCGGGUUAGACUGCGUAAGCACCUACCUUGUUGAAGGAGGUAGCUAGGUCUGCUCACCGGCCGCCCACGCAAUGUGCAGGAGUUCCCGGGGAGAUGGCCCAUGACCCCUGGGGGCAUAGGUUUAGUCCGGCGUGCUGACCUCGCUAUUAAGCCUAGGUCGGGUUGCGGUGUAUUGUUUGGCCGAGGCCAGGCAUGACCCAGGAAAGUGUGUCCGGCCGGAGUGAAGCGAGCGUGGUGGGUAAGUUGGUGCACCCCUGCAGGGAAGAAAACAUCUAUCGAUAGCCUGUCCUAUGGUAACGGACACUUGGAGUUGUAUCCCGAUCGAUACAACUAGAACUGGAUACUUGAGAUGAGACAUGGAUAUGAGAAAUGGAUAGUAUGGCUCUGGGAUUGCUUUCUCGCACGGAGUUGAGAAAGGAUCUCUGGCCGAGGUUGAUAACACUUCUACUACAUUACUUUAUGCUACUCUACUUCCUCCUAUUGCUGCAAGAAGGUGGUUUCCAAAAGAUGCUAGUCUUCGAUAGGCUAGGCUUUCCCCUUCUCUUCUGGCAUUCUGUAGUUCAGUCCACAUAUACUACCCUUUUCAUUGACACCGAUUCAUAUGUAGUGUAGAUCCUAGCUUGCGAGUACUUUGGAUGAGUACUCACGGUUGCUUUGCUAUCCUUUUUCCCCCUUUCUUCUUCUUUCCGGUUGAUGCAACCAGAUGUCGGAGCCCAGGAGCCAGAUGCCACCGCAGAUGCCUACUACUACGUGGAGAUCGCCGACGACCAGGAGUAGUUAGGAGGCUCCCAGGCAGGAGGCCUUGCCUUUUCGAUCUUAGAUGCUUUUGUGCUAGCCUUCUUAAGGCAAACUUGUCUAACUCAUGUCUGUACUCAGAUAUUGUUGCUUCCGCUGACUCUUGUGUUUCCGAGCUUAUGUAUUCGAGCCCUCGAGGCCCCUAGCUUGUAAUAUAAAGCUUGUAUUAUUUUAAUUUG